CACGUAGGGACCAAGCGUUGUCCGGAUUCAUUGGGCGUAAAGAGCUCGUAGGCGGUUCAGUAAGUCGGGUGUGAAACCUCCAGGCUCAACCCUGGAGACGCCACCCGAUACUGCUGUGACUAGAGUCCAGUGGAGGGAGCGUGAAUUCCUGGUGUAGCGGUGAAAAUGCGCAGAUAUCAGGAGGAACACCAGCGGCGAAGGCGGGUCUCUGGGCCGAUACUGACGCUGAGGAGCGAAAAGCGUGGGGGAGCGAACAGG
rnacentral:rRNA from 1 species